rnacentral:rRNA from 1 species
AUUGAACGCUGGCGGCGUGCUUUACACAUGCAAGUCGAGCGGCAGCAUGACCUUCGGGUUGAUGGCGAGCGGCGAACGGGUGAGUAAUACAUCGGAACGUACCUUUUAGUGGGGGAUAACGCAUCGAAAGAUGUGCUAAUACCGCAUAAUCUCUGAGGAGGAAAGGCGGGGAUCACGUAAGUGACCUGUCGCUGAAAGAGCGGCCGAUGGUCGAUUAGCUAGUUGGCGGGGUAAAAGCCCACCAAGGCGAUGAUCGAUAGCGGGUCUGAGAGGACGAUCCGUCACACUGGGACUGAGACACGGCCCACACUCCUACGGGAGGCAGCAGUGGGGAAUUUUGGACAAUGGGGGAAACCCUGAUCCAGCAACGCCGCGUGAAUGAAGAAGGCCUUAGGGUUGUAAAGUUCUUUUGUCAGGGAAGAAAGUUUCUGUGCUAAUAUCAUAGAACGAUGACGGUACCUGAAGAAUAAGCACCGGCUAACUACGUGCCAGCAGCCGCGGUAAUACGUAGGGUGCAAGCGUUAAUCGGAAUUACUGGGCGUAAAGCGUGCGCAGGCGGUUAGAU